GAUGAACGCUAGCGGCAGGCUUAACACAUGCAAGUCGAGGGGCAGCAUAAAUAGUAGCAAUACUAUUGGUGGCGACCGGCGGACGGGUGCGUAACGCGUAUACAACCUUCCCUAAACAGGGGGAUAAUCUGGAGAAAUUCGGUCUAAUACCCCAUAACAUCGGAGCAGGCAUCUGUUUUGGUUAAAAUUUCCGGAGGUUUAGGAUGGGUAUGCGUAGCAUUAGCUAGUUGGUGAGGUAACGGCUCACCAAGGCGACGAUGCUUAGGGGGACUGAGAGGUUAACCCCCCACACUGGUACUGAGACACGGACCAGACUCCUACGGGAGGCAGCAGUGAGGAAUAUUGGUCAAUGGGCGGAAGCCUGAACCAGCCAUGCCGCGUGCAGGAUGACGGCUCUAUGAGUUGUAAACUGCUUUUGUGCGAGGGUAAAGUGGGCUACGUGUAGCCUUUUGAAAGUAUCGUACGAAUAAGGAUCGGCUAACUCCGUGCCAGCAGCCGCAGUAA
rnacentral:rRNA from 1 species